UACGUAGGGUGCGAGCGUUGCCCGGAUUUAUUGGGCGUAAAGGGCGCGUAGGCGGUCACGCACGUCCGUUGUGAAAUCGCUCGGCUCAACUGGGCGGGGUCAGCGGAUACGGCGUGGCUGGAGCAAGCUAGGGGGCAAUGGAAUUCCCGGUGUAGUGGUGGAAUGCGUAGAUAUCGGGAGGAACACCGGAUGGCGAAGGCGCAGCUCG
rnacentral:rRNA from 1 species